CCAGAAGGUUCCAGAGGGGCAGUUGGGCUGGGAUGGCGGCAAGGCUGCAGCGCUGGGUGCCAAACCAUCGUUUGUUGCUUAGUUUUUAAUUAUUUUUAUAUUUAUGAGGAAAAAUUGCCCUCACACAGUAGCCUCAGUGCUACAGUCAGGAUUCACCUCCACACCGAGCUGCGGGCACAAACCCGCCGGGAACACCACCACCAGGAUGCAACUGUGCAGCAACUUGCAGAACAGAGACCUGGUUUCACACGGACUCUUGGUGAGGGAGAUGAGCCUGCAGACACCAACAAACAGCUGAACACGAUCAAAAGCUACAGUCAAUGAGGCAGUGGGGAAGAGAGUGUUCACCAACUCUGAGUAGAAAAAGAAAGAACUUCUCCUGUAGCCAUUUUCUCAAGACAUCAGAAAGAUCAAAACCAAGGACUCCGCAGCAAAGGCUGGUGCAGACACAGCAGCACUAGGCAGGACACAACAAGAUGUAAUGCCACAACAAGGCAGAGCUGGAACCCCUGAACCUGCAACCAUUGAAAAAGCUACAGUCAUCAGGCAGGAAGGAAAUGAGAUUCUGAAUGAGGGCAGUAGUCUUAACGUAUACCAUGACUGACUGUGGCUAGUCUCAGGUCCUUGACUGUUGAUGAAGGUGUGUUUAAGGGAAGCAGCCUGACUUGGACAUAUUUUAGAUCAGAUACAUGCCAUCAAUCUGGUCCCUUGUGGGGGAACAUCCCUUGAGCAGCAGCAGUUCCCAGAAACCUGACAAGCCCUGAAGCAAAAUGUCUGCAAGGAAAGGGAGUUCUACCUGAUGAGAGACAGCUCAACAUAGGUGUCCUUCUCUGCAGAGAGGACAAUUACCCUGUGGAUGGAGGCACUGAAAGUGCACAGCAUUUCAAAGCAAAAUAUUGUUACUUAAUAGAAGUAGCUGGGAGGAUUAGGCAUUGCUCUGGAAGCAUGGAAAAAGCUUGUUAUUUCUACCUGUACCACCCUGUUCUGCAGGUGAAGAUGAUGCGAAUACGAGCUCAUCUCAAGAGGUUUAACCCCAACCAGGCAGCUGGGUUGUUUGUGGCACCUGCUGCGUUCUGCCCGAGCACACAUACACAUUCAUGCACCGUAGGAGCUCCUUUGGGCAGCUGCCACGCUCCUGAGUGUGAGUCAAGGAUCACUAUGCCUGCUCCAGCAGCCACUCAGGCCAAGAGGGGACAAGGCUCAGACUGCACCGUGCUUUUCAAGGGUCAUCACAACAGCAGAGUUACCACCGCAUGAGUCGCUUCCUACAUACCUGAGCCAAAAUUCAAGCUUACAAGUACAUGGUGUUUUCCAAAAGCCGUAAGACUAUCAUCAGACUUUCUUGGCUUGCAUGAACUGGUUCAGCUAAAGCAAAAACUGAUUUAAAGCAACCAACAAUCUAGCCACUUCAUUUCUGAGGUACUGCUAAGUUAAAGAGAAUUUGGAUGUAGCAAAAUCCUUGAUCCCAAAUGUCCCAGUUUUAAGGAAAGCUUUAAGCCAAACGUGUACUUUACAGCUAACCCCUGUCAUCUUAGAAGGUCAGACCAGAAGCUUGGCACUGAAUGCCCUGCUCCACCUUUAACAGAGCACAAAACCAAAGACUUUUUUUUCCUACAAGAAAUGCUAAUGCUAUACAGAGGGUGUGAUUUUAAUUGCACUCUCCCUUGAAAGUGAUGAAAAUUUUACCAACUCCAAGGAUAUGUUUAUUUGGCCACACAUUCAAACCAUUGCCAGUACACCAAGGUCUCCUGGCUUGAAGAUUCAAGAACGCUAAAUGCAGUAAUCACAUGUUAAAGUUUGAAACUAAAUGCAAGAGAGUCAGGAAAUUCCAAAAUCAACUUAUCUACCACAACCAUAACUCAGCCCUGGUAGUUAGCCUUAUUUUAUCACUUUAUUGUAUGUGCAGUGAUAGAUUUAUGACUUAAGAUGUGGCCAGGCCACAGUGUCAGUGGGAGGCUUUGCUAAGGAACAUCCUGGGUUUUGUGCAUUUCUAAUCUCACUCUUAACAUGGCAUUAAUGUGUUUGCACUUACCAGCAUUAUGCUUCAGGGUUUUCUUACAGCAUGACCUGGGCCAGAAAUAAUCCACGAGUGUUGCCAAAGGACAGGACAGCACUAACACAGCUGACAGAACACAGCUUCUCAGAUCAAUUCAAAGUAUUUGAGCUCCAUCGUGUGGAGCGUGCCUGCACAUACGAUCUGGCUUUCUAAUAAAUCUCUUAAAAAAAAUAGAAGAAUGCUCAAAUACACUACAAAUCAAGGAAACCUUUGACAGAAAGUAAGAUUCACACUGCUCCUUGCUGAGGAGCAAAAUGUGACAGGGCUGAGUUUGCCAGAGCCCUGGGACAGCAACACGGAAGGGCUGCAGCUCAUCACAGGGCACAUCGCUGCCAUGCUGGUUAAGAAGGAUCAAGACCAGCUCACCGCAAGGUUUUUAAUUAGACUCACUUCACACUAGCAUUUGCUGCAUUGAUCAUGGAAAGGUUGUUAAAUGAACCUAGCUCACAGGUCUAUGUGUUUUGUAACCUUUUUCAUUCUGCUAGCACUGGAGUAUUGAAAUUCACACCGUGACACUGAAUGCUUGCUGCAUACAAACAGUGUGACCUCUUGUGAAAGUCAUUUUGCAGCUUAAGUUAAAGGAGUGAGAAAGUUUCACAUCUGAAUUAUAUCCCAUUUCUCACAUCCUUUUACACUGUAGGCUUUACUUUGAAAGCAUCUCUGUAUCAAAUAUAGCCCAGAGGACCCUUAUCUUGCUGGCUCCCUGGGAUGUGUUCAAAGAGUUAUAUACAAAGCAAAAAAAUAUAUAUCAUUCUGAGAUAGGCAAAAGCUUCUGUAUUUCUGGAAGGAAAGACAUGGAUGGCCACUGGGGUUCAUAAGAGGUUUUGUGACAGUGAGCAUAUCUUCUCAUGGAAACACAUAAUUUAUAGAAUGUAUAUAAAAUAUAUAGAUGUUUUCAUUUUUAAAUUACAAAUGAUAACAAGGAUUCCUACAGGCCAGUGAAAUACACUUUGUUACAAGAAAGCAGAGCAGCUGUCAUGGUGUGAAGAAUUUGGUGAAGCGGGCAAGGAGGACACCAAGGGGAAAUAUCUGACACCAGGCUACUCCUCAUCCAAGCAAGAAGCGUCCAAAGCUGCCAAGUCAGAGACUCAAGCCAGAAAUCAGACCAUUAUUUAUUUUUCAAUUGCUACUUCUGGUGACUUCUCUACCAUUUGAUUCCCAAAUCAAGACCAAGAGACUAUCCUACAAAGGCCAAAGCAGUGCAAAACCUGUCCGCAGCUGUUGGACUAACAUUAUGCAGUCAUAUUAGAGAAGUAUUGUAGUCUCUUCUGGCCCUACAGACAAUCAGGGAAUCUAUUUACCUGCAUUACAGAUGAUCACAAAAACCUCUCUGCCAAUUCUCUAAAAUGACUCCAGUCUUUAAUCAGAAGGCAUUUACAAGAGACAGAGGGCUGAAAAGAGGACUCCUGUGGUCAUCCCUCAGCCCCAGAUCAGAGGGAUGCUGCACUCACUGCACUUUGUUUCCGCCAUGCCCAGAUCCCCACUUUGUAGUGUGCAUCUGUUGGGUGACCUGGACUAAAGCUGAUAGCACAUUUUUCCCCUCAAUUUUCACUCCUGAAAAUUAAGAACUACUAGACUGACAUGUUAUCAGACCGCAUCCACCUCUGAAGGUGUAUGGGCAAAGACCAUGUACCUCAAAUCCGGGAUUCAGAUAGGUUACCUCCUUUUUUGAUGUCCUGAGCAUCUAUCUUCUCCUACUGAAGACACAGAAAAAAGCGCUCGUUUGCCCCCCUCCCACCGAGGUGCAGCUUUGUUUAUUCAGAGAUAGAUAGUGUUUAUUCUGAGAUAGGAGCAAGAGGACUGCAGGAACUCCGCACA